rnacentral:rRNA from 1 species
GACGAACGCUGGCGGCGUGCCUAAUACAUGCAAGUCGAACGCAGUGGGGAAGGGUGAGUAACACGUGGGUAACCUCCCAUCAGAGGGGCGAACACUUGGAAACAGGUGCUAAAACCGAUACCGAUGGAGGGACCCGCGGUGCAUUAGCUAGUUGGAGAGGUAACGGCGCACCAAGGCAACGAUGCAGAGACGACCUGAGAGGGUGAUCGGCCACACUGGGACGGGGACACGGCCCAGACUCCUACGGGAGGCAGCAGUAGUGAAUCUUGGGCAAUGGACGAAAGUCUGACCGAGCAACGCCGCGUGAGUGAAGAAGGUUUUCGGAUCGUAAAACUCUGUUGUUAGAGAAGCGGUAUCUAACCAGAAAGCCACGGCUAACUACGUGCCAGCAGCCGCGGUAAUAC